CCUACGGGUGGGCAGCAGUGAGGAAUAUUGGUCAAUGGGCGGAAGCCUGAACCAGCCAAGUAGCGUGCAGGAUGACGGCCCUACGGGUUGUAAACUGCUGUUAUACGGGAAUAACGCGCCUUACGUGUAGGGCUUUGCAUGUACCGUAUGAAUAAGGACCGGCUAAUUCCGUGCCAGCAGCCGCGGUAAUACGGAAGGUCCGGGCGUUAUCCGGAGUUAUUGGGGUUAAAGGGAGCGGAGGCCGCAUGUCAAGCGUGCUGUGAAAUGUCCGGGCGUAACCCGGGACUUGCAGCGCGAACUGGCGGGCUUGAGUCCGCGGAAAGCAGGCGGAAUUCGUCGUGUAGCGGUGAAAUGCUUAGAUAUGACGAAGAACCCCGAUUGCGAAGGCAGCUUGCUGCAGCGGAACUGACGCUGAUGCUCGAAAGCGCGGGUAUCGAACAGGAUUAGAUACCCGGGUAGUC
rnacentral:rRNA from 1 species